UGGGGAAUAUUGCACAAUGGGCGCAAGCCUGAUGCAGCCAUGCCGCGUGUGUGAAGAAGGCCUUCGGGUUGUAAAGCACUUUCAGCGAGGAGGAAGGCAUUAAGGUUAAUAACCUUAGUGAUUGACGUUACUCGCAGAAGAAGCACCGGCUAACUCCGUGCCAGCAGCCGCGGUAAUACGGAGGGUGCAAGCGUUAAUCGGAAUUACUGGGCGUAAAGCGCACGCAGGCGGUUUGUUAAGUCAGAUGUGAAAUCCCCGAGCUUAACUUGGGAGCUGCAUUUGAAACUGGCAAGCUAGAGUCUUGUAGAGGGGGGUAGAAUUCCAGGUGUAGCGGUGAAAUGCGUAGAGAUCUGGAGGAAUACCGGUGGCGAAGGCGGCCCCCUGGACAAAGACUGACGCUCAGGUGCGAAAGCGUGGGGCAGCAAACAGGAUUAGAUACCCUGGUAGUCCAGCGCUGUAAACGGAUG
rnacentral:rRNA from 1 species